rnacentral:lncRNA from 1 species
CCGAUGCAAAGAAGAGCAUCGGUCGCCCCUUGGAUCAUCAUGAGAGCCUUGUAGCUCUCUAAAUGGUCAACUGGGUCGGUGGAGCCAUCGUAGGGCUCCACAUGGGGCAUCUUGAACCGACUAGGAAUCGGCUCGUCGAGGAUGAGUCGGGAGAGAGGUUGGGCGGUCUGGAAGUCGACGUCGUUCGGGGACUUCUGUCUGUCCACCUGCAGCUGGGCAAGGCGACGGUUGAUUUCUCUGAACCUGCAUUCGUAGUCGUCGGCCCGUUAGUGCUGAGAGAUCCCGGGAGUGGAGUCUCCCAACGAAUCUGAGAGG